AUGCUGCUCACUGUCGUUUUGGUCAUUUUUUUUACGAAAAAGGGAGGUGGAAAGUCAGUGCCAAAUGCAUGGCAAUCCUUGGUCGAGAUUUAUGAUUUCGUGCCGAACCUGGUAAACGAACAAAUAGGUGGUCUUUCCGGAAAUGUGAAACAGAAGUUUUUCCCUCGCUCUCGGUCACUUUUACUUUUUCGCCAUUUCGUAAUCCCCAGGGUAUGA
rnacentral:rRNA from 1 species